AGAAACACUUAAUCAUUACCUAUGGGUGUUUUUAGUGAAGAACACUGUCAGUCCAUGAAGAACAUUUCCAUCCAUGGAAGUCAUUCAGGCUACAAUGCAGAUGUUAUGUUGGAGAUCCAGGAAUGAACUGUCUGUAGAUAAGAGUUCAUCUUGAGAGUGGAGCCUGGUUUCAGGAUAUUUCAAUACAAACAUGAAAAUAGUGUGUCUGGAGUGACAGUAGUUUUGCAUGCUUGGAUCUGGUAAUCAGAAUGACUGAU